GAUGAAGAACGUAGCGAAAUGCGAUAAGUAAUGUGAAUUGCAGAAUUCAGUGAAUCAUCGAAUCUUUGAACGCACCUUGCGCCUUUUGGUAUUCCGAAAGGCACACCUGUUUGAGCGUCAUGAAUACCUCAAUCUCCAUCUUUUCUUCGGAUUGAUGGGUGACUUGGAUGUUGAGCCCUGCUGGUAUGCUAUAUCAGCUGGCUUUAAACUUAUUAGCCGGCUCUGUACUGGAUCGGUUUGACUCGACGUGAUAAUAUUAUCGUUGAGGAUGCAUGUCUCAUGCAGCCGGAAAGUAUCAAAGCAGCUUCUAGCUUGCCUUUAGUGCACUUUUACAUUUUAUACCUCAGAUCAGGUGGGACUACCCGCUGAACUUAAGCAUAUCAAUAAGCGGAGGA
rnacentral:misc_RNA from 1 species